AGAGUUUGAUCAUGGCUCAGAUUGAACGCUGGCGGCAGGCCUAACACAUGCAAGUCGAGCGGUAGCACAGAGAGCUUGCUCUCGGGUGACGAGCGGCGGACGGGUGAGUAAUGUCUGGGAAACUGCCUGAUGGAGGGGGAUAACUACUGGAAACGGUAGCUAAUACCGCAUAAUGUCGCAAGACCAAAGUGGGGGACCUUCGGGCCUCAUGCCAUCAGAUGUGCCCAGAUGGGAUUAGCUAGUAGGUGGGGUAAUGGCUCACCUAGGCGACGAUCCCUAGCUGGUCUGAGAGGAUGACCAGCCACACUGGAACUGAGACACGGUCCAGACUCCUACGGGAGGCAGCAGUGGGGAAUAUUGCACAAUGGGCGCAAGCCUGAUGCAGCCAUGCCGCGUGUGUGAAGAAGGCCUUCGGGUUGUAAAGCACUUUCAGCGGGGAGGAAGGCGGUGAGGUUAAUAACCUCAUCGAUUGACGUUACCCGCAGAAGAAGCACCGGCUAACUCCGUGCCAGCAGCCGCGGUAAUACGGAGGGUGCAAGCGUUAAUCGGAAUUACUGGGCGUAAAGCGCACGCAGGCGGUCUGUCAAGUCGGAUGUGAAAUCCCCGGGCUCAACCUGGGAACUGCAUUCGAAACUGGCAGGCUAGAGUCUUGUAGAGGGGGGUAGAAUUCCAGGUGUAGCGGUGAAAUGCGUAGAGAUCUGGAGGAAUACCGGUGGCGAAGGCGGCCCCCUGGACAAAGACUGACGCUCAGGUGCGAAAGCGUGGGGAGCAAACAGGAUUAGAUACCCUGGUAGUCCACGCCGUAAACGAUGUCGAUUUGGAGGUUGUGCCCUUGAGGCGUGGCUUCCGGAGCUAACGCGUUAAAUCGACCGCCUGGGGAGUACGGCCGCAAGGUUAAAACUCAAAUGAAUUGACGGGGGCCCGCACAAGCGGUGGAGCAUGUGGUUUAAUUCGAUGCAACGCGAAGAACCUUACCUGGUCUUGACAUCCACAGAACUUUCCAGAGAUGGAUUGGUGCCUUCGGGAACUGUGAGACAGGUGCUGCAUGGCUGUCGUCAGCUCGUGUUGUGAAAUGUUGGGUUAAGUCCCGCAACGAGCGCAACCCUUAUCCUUUGUUGCCAGCGGUUCGGCCGGGAACUCAAAGGAGACUGCCAGUGAUAAACUGGAGGAAGGUGGGGAUGACGUCAAGUCAUCAUGGCCCUUACGACCAGGGCUACACACGUGCUACAAUGGCAUAUACAAAGAGAAGCGACCUCGCGAGAGCAAGCGGACCUCAUAAAGUAUGUCGUAGUCCGGAUUGGAGUCUGCAACUCGACUCCAUGAAGUCGGAAUCGCUAGUAAUCGUAGAUCAGAAUGCUACGGUGAAUACGUUCCCGGGCCUUGUACACACCGCCCGUCACACCAUGGGAGUGGGUUGCAAAAGAAGUAGGUAGCUUAACCUUCGGGAGGGCGCUUACCACUUUGUGAUUCAUGACUGGGGUGAAGUCGUAACAAGGUAACCGUAGGGGAACCUGCGGUUG
rnacentral:rRNA from 1 species